AGAGUUUGAUCCUGGCUCAGAAUCAACGCUGGCGGCGUGCCUAACACAUGCAAGUCGAACGCGAAAGGGGCUUCGGCCCUGAGUAGAGUGGCGAACGGGUGAGUAACACGUGGGUGAUCUACCUCUGAGUGGGGGAUAACGUUCCGAAAGGAGCGCUAAUACCGCAUGACGUCCUGGGUUUGAAGACCUGGACACCAAAGUCGGGGACCGCAAGGCCUGACGCUUGGAGAGGAGCCCGCGCCUGAUUAGCUAGUUGGUGAGGUAACGGCUCACCAAGGCGACGAUCAGUAGCCGGCCUGAGAGGGCGGACGGCCACACUGGGACUGAGGCACGGCCCAGACUCCUACGGGAGGCAGCAGUGGGGAAUUGUUCGCAAUGGGCGCAAGCCUGACGACGCAACGCCGCGUGGAGGAUGAAGGUCUUCGGAUUGUAAACUCCUGUUGAUCGGGAAGAAUGGCCUCCGGGUUAAUACUCCGGAGGAGUGACGGUACCGAUUGAGGAAGCCACGGCUAACUCUGUGCCAGCAGCCGCGGUAAUACAGAGGUGGCAAGCGUUGUUCGGAAUUACUGGGCGUAAAGGGCGCGUAGGCGGUCGCCUAAGUCGGACGUGAAAUCCCCAAGCUUAACUUGGGAACUGCGUCCGAUACUGGGUGACUUGAGUUCGGGAGAGGAAUGUGGAAUUCCAGGUGUAGCGGUGAAAUGCGUAGAUAUCUGGAGGAACACCGGUGGCGAAGGCGGCAUUCUGGACCGAAACUGACGCUGAGGCGCGAAAGCCAGGGGAGCAAACGGGAUUAGAUACCC
rnacentral:rRNA from 1 species